GGGUUGUGAGGUUAAGCGACUAAGCGUACACGGUGGAUGCCCUGGCAGUCAGAGGCGAUGAAGGACGUGCUAAUCUGCGAAAAGCGUCGGUAAGGUGAUAUGAACCGUUAUAGCCGGCGAUGUCCGAAUGGGGAAACCCAGUGCAAUUCGUUGCACUAUCGUUAACUGAAUACAUAGGUUAACGAGGCGAACCGGGGGAACUGAAACAUCUAAGUACCCCGAGGAAAAGAAAUCAACCGAGAUUCCCCCAGUAGCGGCGAGCGAACGGGGAGCAGCCCAGAGUCUGAAUCAGCUUGUGUGUUAGUGGAACGGUCUGGAAAGUCCGACGGUACAGGGUGAUAGUCCCGUACACCAAAAUGCACAGGUUGUGAACUCGAAGAGUAGGGCGGGACACGUGGUAUCCUGUCUGAAUAUGGGGGGACCAUCCUCCAAGGCUAAAUACUCCUGACUGACCGAUAGUGAACCAGUACCGUGAGGGAAAGGCGAAAAGAACCCCGGCGAGGGGAGUGAAAAAGAACCUGAAACCGUGUACGUACAAGCAGUGGGAGCACCUUCGGGUGUGACUGCGUACCUUUUGUAUAAUGGGUCAGCGACUUAUAUUCUGUAGCAAGGUUAACCGUAUAGGGGAGCCGCAGGGAAACCGAGUCUUAACUGGGCGUUAAGUUGCAGGGUAUAGACCCGAAACCCGGUGAUCUAGCCAUGGGCAGGUUGAAGGUUGGGUAACACUAACUGGAGGACCGAACCGACUAAUGUUGAAAAAUUAGCGGAUGACUUGUGGCUGGGGGUGAAAGGCCAAUCAAACCGGGAGAUAGCUGGUUCUCCCCGAAAGCUAUUUAGGUAGCGCCUCGUGAACUCAUCUUCGGGGGUAGAGCACUGUUUCGGCUAGGGGGUCAUCCCGACUUACCAACCCGAUGCAAACUACGAAUACCGAAGAAUGUUAUCACGGGAGACACACGGCGGGUGCUAACGUCCGUCGUGAAGAGGGAAACAACCCAGACCGCCAGCUAAGGUCCCAAAGUCAUGGUUAAGUGGGAAACGAUGUGGGAAGGCACAGACAGCCAGGAUGUUGGCUUAGAAGCAGCCAUCAUUUAAAGAAAGCGUAAUAGCUCACUGGUCGAGUCGGCCUGCGCGGAAGAUGUAACGGGGCUAAACCAUGCACCGAAGCUGCGGCAGCGACACUAUGUGUUGUUGGGUAGGGGAGCGUUCUGUAAGCCUGCGAAGGUGACCUGUGAGGGUUGCUGGAGGUAUCAGAAGUGCGAAUGCUGACAUAAGUAACGAUAAAGCGGGUGAAAAGCCCGCUCGCCGGAAGACCAAGGGUUCCUGUCCAACGUUAAUCGGGGCAGGGUGAGUCGACCCCUAAGGCGAGGCCGAAAGGCGUAGUCGAUGGGAAACAGGUUAAUAUUCCUGUACUUGGUGUUACUGCGAAGGGGGGACGGAGAAGGCUAUGUUAGCCGGGCGACGGUUGUCCCGGUUUAAGCAUGUAGGCUGAUUGUCCAGGCAAAUCCGGAUAAUCAAGGCUGAGGUGUGAUGACGAGGCACUACGGUGCUGAAGUAACAAAUGCCCUGCUUCCAGGAAAAGCCUCUAAGCAUCAGGUAACAUUAAAUCGUACCCCAAACCGACACAGGUGGUCAGGUAGAGAAUACCAAGGCGCUUGAGAGAACUCGGGUGAAGGAACUAGGCAAAAUGGUGCCGUAACUUCGGGAGAAGGCACGCUGGUGUGUAGGUGAAGUCCCUGCGGAUGGAGCUGAGACCAGUCGAAGAUACCAGCUGGCUGCAACUGUUUAUUAAAAACACAGCACUGUGCAAACACGAAAGUGGACGUAUACGGUGUGACGCCUGCCCGGUGCCGGAAGGUUAAUUGAUGGGGUUAUCCGUAAGGAGAAGCUCUUGAUCGAAGCCCCGGUAAACGGCGGCCGUAACUAUAACGGUCCUAAGGUAGCGAAAUUCCUUGUCGGGUAAGUUCCGACCUGCACGAAUGGCGUAAUGAUGGCCAGGCUGUCUCCACCCGAGACUCAGUGAAAUUGAACUCGCUGUGAAGAUGCAGUGUACCCGCGGCAAGACGGAAAGACCCCGUGAACCUUUACUAUAGCUUGACACUGAACAUUGAGCCUUGAUGUGUAGGAUAGGUGGGAGGCUUUGAAGCGUGGACGCCAGUCUGCGUGGAGCCAACCUUGAAAUACCACCCUUUAAUGUUUGAUGUUCUAACGUUGGCCCCUUACCGGGGUUGCGGACAGUGUCUGGUGGGUAGUUUGACUGGGGCGGUCUCCUCCCAAAGCGUAACGGAGGAGCACGAAGGUUAGCUAAUCCUGGUCGGACAUCAGGAGGUUAGUGCAAUGGCAUAAGCUAGCUUGACUGCGAGCGUGACGGCGCGAGCAGGUGCGAAAGCAGGUCAUAGUGAUCCGGUGGUUCUGAAUGGAAGGGCCAUCGCUCAACGGAUAAAAGGUACUCCGGGGAUAACAGGCUGAUACCGCCCAAGAGUUCAUAUCGACGGCGGUGUUUGGCACCUCGAUGUCGGCUCAUCACAUCCUGGGGCUGAAGUAGGUCCCAAGGGUAUGGCUGUUCGCCAUUUAAAGUGGUACGCGAGCUGGGUUUAGAACGUCGUGAGACAGUUCGGUCCCUAUCUGCCGUGGGCGCUGGAGAAUUGAGGGGGGCUGCUCCUAGUACGAGAGGACCGGAGUGGACGCAUCACUGGUGUUCGGGUUGUCAUGCCAAUGGCACUGCCCGGUAGCUAAAUGCGGAAGAGAUAAGUGCUGAAAGCAUCUAAGCACGAAACUUGCCCCGAGAUGAGUUCUCCCUGAGACUUUAAGUCUCCUGAAGGAACGUUAAAGACGAUGACGUUGAUAGGCCGGGUGUGUAAGCGCAGCGAUGCGUUGAGCUAACCGGUACUAAUGAACCGUGAGGCUUAACCUUACAACGCCGAAG
rnacentral:rRNA from 1 species